AGCAACUCAGAAUGUGGGACCGCUGGAAGGAAAAACACCCCUGGAUGGGGCGAAGAGUUCUGUGUCAUGAUUUUGGAUUUAGUGGAAAAAGAACAGAGGAGAUUUUCUUGUUACCUUAAUUUUCCCAACAUGGAAGAUUUGGGAAUGAAGAAGGACACUGCAAAGAGUGAGGCCUAAAAUGGAAACCAGUCAUGAUUUUUAUUUUGCUACUUUCUUUACGGACACGAAUGCACACAGUGUAGAGCAGCCUUAACUCUGAAUUGGAACAAGGUCGUGUAAGUGCCAGGACGUUAUUUCCAGAAGCCCACAGCUGCUGAUUCCUACACCCAGUGAUUUCCACUGCCUUUUCAUGAUUCUGGAAUUCCCAAGAACAGUGUCAUCUUAUUAGAAGGUAUUUCCCAGUUCGAGUUGGAGACAAACCAACCUUCCCUCACAGGCUGAGUCCUUCUGGUUUCACUGCCAAAGCUUCCAGACUCACCCAGGGUCUGUUAGACAUAUUUGAAUGAAUCUGUCAGAUUGUUCAGUCGUUAAUGAGGUCACACUUUCCAUGAAGACCAUAGUGGCGUCAUUUUGUGUACCAACAAUUGUAUCAAGUCAUGAUGAUUUUUUAAAUAUCAUUGAAAUAAUCAUUAAAAUAUUAUUGAGAUAAA
rnacentral:lncRNA from 1 species